rnacentral:rRNA from 1 species
GCGGAUGAGAGGAGCUUGCUCCUUGAUUCAGCGGCGGACGGGUGAGUAAUGCCUAGGAAUCUGCCUAUUAGUGGGGGACAACGUUUCGAAAGGAACGCUAAUACCGCAUACGUCCUACGGGAGAAAGCAGGGGACCUUCGGGCCUUGCGCUAAUAGAUGAGCCUAGGUCGGAUUAGCUAGUUGGUGAGGUAAUGGCUCACCAAGGCGACGAUCCGUAACUGGUCUGAGAGGAUGAUCAGUCACACUGGAACUGAGACACGGUCCAGACUCCUACGGGAGGCAGCAGUGGGGAAUAUUGGACAAUGGGCGAAAGCCUGAUCCAGCCAUGCCGCGUGUGUGAAGAAGGUCUUCGGAUUGUAAAGCACUUUAAGUUGGGAGGAAGGGUUGUAGAUUAAUACUCUGCAAUUUUGACGUUACCGACAGAAUAAGCACCGGCUAACUCUGUGCCAGCAGCCGCGGUAAUACAGAGGGUGCAAGCGUUAAUCGGAAUUACUGGGCGUAAAGCGCGCGUAGGUGGUUCGUUAAGUUGGAUGUGAAAUCCCCGGGCUCAACCUGGGAACUGCAUUCAAAACUGUCGAGCUAGAGUAUGGUAGAGGGUGGUGGAAUUUCCUGUGUAGCGGUGAAAUGCGUAGAUAUAGGAAGGAACACCAGUGGCGAAGGCGACCACCUGGACUGAUACUGACACUGAGGUGCGAAAGCGUGGGGAGCAAACAGGAUUAGAUACCCUGGUAGUCCACGCCGUAAACGAUGUCGACUAGCCGUUGGGGUCCUUGAGACUUUAGUGGCGCAGCUAACGCAUUAAGUCGACCGCCUGGGGAGUACGGCCGCAAGGUUAAAACUCAAAUGAAUUGACGGGGGCCCGCACAAGCG